CCUACGGGAGGCAGCAGUAGGGAAUAUUGCUCAAUGGGGGAAACCCUGAUGCAGCAACGCCGCGUGGAGGAUGAAGGUUUUCGGAUUGUAAACUCCUUUUGUUAGAGAAGAUAAUGACGGUAUCUAACGAAUAAGAACCGGCUAACUCCGUGCCAGCAGCCGCGGUAAUACGGAGGGUGAAAGCGUUCCUCGGGAGCACUGGGCGUAAAGAGCGCGUAGGCGGGGUAGCAAGUCAGAUGUGAAAUCCUAUGGCUUAACCAUAGAACUGCAUUUGAAACUGUUAUUCUAGAGUAUGGGAGAGGUAAGUGGAAUUCUAGGUGGAGGGGUAAAAUGCGUAGAGAUCAAGAGGAAUACUCAUGGCGAAGGCGACCUGCUAGAACAAAACUGACGCUGAUGCGCGAAAGCGUGGGGAGCAAACAGGAUUAGAUACCCUGGUAGUC
rnacentral:rRNA from 1 species